rnacentral:tRNA from 1 species
AGUUAAUAAGCUUAAAUAAGCAAUUGUUUUGAAAACAUUUGAUAGAAAUUAAAAUUUUCUAUUAACUU